rnacentral:rRNA from 1 species
GACAGAGGUCCCGAGCGUUAGGCGGAAUCACUGGGCUUAAAGCGUGUGUAGGCGGACUUCUAAGUACCUUGUGAAAUCCCACGGCUUAACCGUGGAACUGCUCGGUAUACUGGUUGUCUUGGGCCAUCUAGGGGCUACCGGAACAAGUGGUGGAGCGGUGAAAUGCGUAGAUAUCACUUGGAACGCCAAUGGUGAAAACAGGUAGCUGGGGAUGUGCCGACGCUGAGACACGAAAGCCAGGGGAGCAAACGGG